rfam:Succinatimonas hippei YIT 12066 genomic scaffold Scfld329, whole genome shotgun sequence.
GAUGCCGCGAGGCAUUGGAUGAAAGAAGCUGAAAGCAAAUUCCCGAACUGACGAACAGGAACUGUCUCAGGCAUGAUCAAUGAGGUAAAUCUGCGAAAGAAGAUGAAGCCCGAUACCUGUACGCGAGUUGAUGGUGUAAAGACAGCAGUUGCAUGGGAAGAAAGAAAAUAUG